rnacentral:lncRNA from 1 species
CGCAAAUUAUUCCCGAAUUAUUGAAAAUAUAAAUAAAAAACUUAUAAUUUUUAUUUUUAAAUACAAAUUAUCUUAUAUUUUAUAUCUUAUAUCUUAUAUUUUAUACCGAAUUCAUUUUUUAAGCCGAAAUUUUCAACGAAUUUACAAAUUAGAAGACGAAUUUUAUGCGUAUUAUAUCCGUACCGAAUUUUUGCCGAAUCCGAAUUAACUAACUAUGUUCCUAACAAUAUACUCGCGCUUUCCGGCGGUAUAAUUUUUAAUUUUAUAAUUAUUAUAUUAUACGUUAUAUAAAAUUAUUUAUUAGAGUCAUAUGAAAAUUAAUAUAUUUUACUCAUAAUUUUAAAAAAUAAAAAUUAAAAAUUUAUAAAAUAUAUAAUUACUAAAUUUAAAUUUAAAAUCAUUUAAAUAUUCAGAGCUUUUGUUUGAAAAAGAGAAAAAAAAAAGAGUAUUAAAUUAAAAAUUAAACUGAGGGAGAGAGAAAAACAGCAUACGCAUUUCUCGACGAGACAGGAGAAGAAAAGAGAAGAGGUAUGAACGUUAUGUUUAAUAAAAAUUAAGUAAGAGAGAGUACAAUAGAAAUUUAAAAUUUUAAAUUUUGAAAUUGAAGAUGUAGGAAAAAAUAUUAUAACUUUUAAAAUUAUAAAAUUUUAAUUUUGAAUUUAAAAUUUAAAAUUUUAUAAUAUAAAUUUUUAAAACUCUCUCUCUCUCUAUAUAUAUAUAUAUAUUGGUAGAGAGAUAAAGGAGGAGAGAAUUUUGGAGGACACUGUCACUCUUAGAUCCUUCAAAUCUUCUUUUAAUGUAGAAGAAAGAAAAGAAAGAAUAGAAAUAGAAAUAGAAAUAGAACAGAUACACUCACCUGAAUCAUACGUAUGUACGCAAUCAACUAUCUAA